UGGGUAACCUGCCUCAAAGAGGGGAAUAGCCUCCCGAAAGGGAGAUUAAUACCGCAUAAUAUGUUUUAAUCGCAUGAUUUUAACAUCAAAGGAUUUUCUUCGGAACUUCCACUUUGAGAUGGACCCGCGGCGCAUUAGCUAGUUGGUGAGGUAACGGCUCACCAAGGCAACGAUGCGUAGCCGACCUGAGGAGGGUGAUCGGCCACAUUGGAACUGAGACACGGUCCAGCUCCGUAGGNG
rnacentral:rRNA from 1 species